rnacentral:rRNA from 1 species
UUCUAUGGCCAUGUCAUCCUGAACAAGCCCGAUCCUAUCUGCUCUCGGAAGCUAAGCAGGGUCAAGCCUGGGUAGUACUUGGAUGGGAGACCACCAAGAAAGACCAGGUGCUGUAGGCG